GGAAAACGUCGGAAUCUGCCUAUUUGUGGGGGAUAACGUAGGGAAACUUACGCUAAUACCGCAUACGACCUACGGGUGAAAGCGGAGGACCUUCGGGCUUCGCGCAGAUAGAUGAGCCGACGUCGGAUUAGCUAGUUGGCGGGGUAAAGGCCCACCAAGGCGACGAUCCGUAGCUGGUCUGAGAGGAUGAUCAGCCACACUGGAACUGAGACACGGUCCAGACUCCUACGGGAGGCAGCAGUGGGGAAUAUUGGACAAUGGGCGCAAGCCUGAUCCAGCCAUGCCGCGUGUGUGAAGAAGGCCUUCGGGUUGUAAAGCACUUUUGUCCGGAAAGAAAAGCUUCGGGUUAAUACCCCGAGGUCAUGACGGUACCGGAAGAAUAAGCACCGGCUAACUUCGUGCCAGCAGCCGCGGUAAUACGAAGGGUGCAAGCGUUACUCGGAAUUACUGGGCGUAAAGCGUGCGUAGGUGGUUUGUUAAGUCUGAUGUGAAAGCCCUGGGCUCAACCUGGGAAUGGCAUUGGAAACUGGCUUACUAGAGUGCGGUAGAGGGUAGUGGAAUUCCGCGGUGUAGCAGUGAAAUGCGUAGAUA
rnacentral:rRNA from 1 species